rnacentral:rRNA from 1 species
AUUGAACGCUGGCGGCAGGCCUAACACAUGCAAGUCGAACGGUAACAGGAAGAAGCUUGCUUCUUUGCUGACGAGUGGCGGACGGGUGAGUAAUGUCUGGGAAACUGCCUGAUGGAGGGGGAUAACUACUGGAAACGGUAGCUAAUACCGCAUAACGUCGCAAGACUAAAGAGGGGGACCUUCGGGCCUCUUGCCAUCGGAUGUGCCCAGAUGGGAUUAGCUAGUAGGUGGGGUAACGGCUCACCUAGGCGACGAUCCCUAGCUGGUCUGAGAGGAUGACCGGCCACACUGGAACUGAGACACGGUCCAGACUCCUACGGGAGGCAGCAGUGGGGAAUAUUGCGCAGUGGGCGCAAGCCUGAUGCAGCCAUGCCGCGUGUAUGAAGAAGGCCUUCGGGUUGUAAAGUACUUUCAGCGGGGAGGAAGGGAGUAAAGUUAAUACCUUUUCUCAUUGACGUUACCCGCAGAAGAAGCACCGGCUAACUCCGUG